rnacentral:rRNA from 1 species
GUGGUUUAAUUCGAUGCAACGCGAAAACCUUACCCACCUUUGACAUGUACGGAACCCUUUAGAGAUAGAGGGGUGCUCGAAAGAGAGCCGUAACACAGGUGCUGCAUGGCUGUCGUCAGCUCGUGUCGUGAGAUGUUGGGUUAAGUCCCGCAACGAGCGCAACCCUUGUCAUUAGUUGCUACAUUCAGUUGGGCACUCUAAUGAGACUGCCGGUGACAAGCCGGAGGAAGGUGGGGAUGACGUCAAGUCCUCAUGGCCCUUAUAGGUGGGGCUACACACGUCAUACAAUGGCUGGUACAAAGGGUUGCCAACCCGCGAGGGGGAGCCAAUCCCAUAAAGCCAGUCGUAGUCCGGAUCGUAGUCUGCAACUCGACUACGUGAAGUCGGAAUCGCUAGUAAUCGUAGAUCAGAAUGCUACGGUGAAUACGUUCCCGGGCCUU